rnacentral:misc_RNA from 1 species
GAUGAAGAACGCAGCGAAAUGCGAUAAGUAAUGUGAAUUGCAGAAUUCAGUGAAUCAUCGAAUCUUUGAACGCACAUUGCGCCCCCUGGUAUUCCGGGGGGCAUGCCUGUUCGAGCGUCGUUUCACCACUCAAGCCUCGCUUGGUAUUGGGCAACGCGGUCCGCCGCGUGCCUCAAAUCGACCGGCUGGGUCUUCUGUCCCCUAAGCGUUGUGGAAACUAUUCGCUAAAGGGUGUUCGGGAGGCUACGCCGUAAAACAACCCCAUUUCUAAGGUUGACCUCGGAUCAGGUAGGGAUACCCGCUGAACUUAAGCAUAUCAAUAAGCGGAGGA